rnacentral:sRNA from 1 species
AUUGUGAAAGGUAACGAAAUUUGGUAGAGUUAUUUCCAAGUCGUUUAUCGUCAUUAUCCAUUUUAUAGAAGGGUAUUUGGAUUUAAAUUCGUUGAGUUAUUUGUACUUUCAUGAGACACGUUUUCUCAGAUGCGAAUUAAGACCAGCGGGAUUCUAACAGAGAUCGUGGUCUUGUCUGGUUUCUGAUCGGUACCAGAUUUCGUGGAAAGCUUUGUGACGUCUAAGGCUAGCUUUUCACCGGAGGGAUUUGAUAGUUAACGGUUAGGUUUUAUUUUAGGGUUUCGUUUUUGAGACUGUAUGUUUUUGCUUUUUAUGUCCAGUUUGUUUCAAGGUUGCUUUUGGUUGUGUGAUUUGUUGUAGGACGUUUCUGGACUGUUUCAGAUGCAAGGAGAGAGU